CAGAGGUGGGCGCAUCUCAGCACCAGACCAGGGGUCCCCGGGUAACCGGCCGCCCCGCCCCAGAGGUGGGUGCAUCUCAGCGCCAGGCGAGGGGUCCCUGGGUAACCGGCCGCCCCGCCCCAGAGGUGGGCGCAUCUCAGCACUGGGCGAGGGGUCCCUGGAUAACCGGCCGCCCCGCCCCAGAGGUGGCUGCAUCUCAGCGCCGGGCGAGGGGUCCCCGGGUAACCGGCCGCCCCGCCCCAGAGGUGGCUGCAUCUCAGCGCCAGGCGAGGGGUCCCUGGGUAACCGGCCGCCCAGCCCCAGAGGUGGCUGCAUCUCAGCGCCGGGUGAGGGGUCCCUGGGUAACCAGCCACCCCGCCCCAGACGUGGCUGCAUCUCAGCGUCGGGCGAGGGGUCCCUGGGUAACCAGCCACCCCGCCCCAGAGGUGGGCGCAUCUCAGCGUCGGGCGAGGGGUCCCUGGGUAACCGGCCGCCCCGCCCCAGAGGUGGCUGCAUCUCAGCGCCGGGCGAGGGGUCCCUGGGUAACCGGCUGCCCAGCCCCAGAGGUGGCUGCAUCUCAGCGCCGGGCGAGGGGUCCCUGGGUAACCGGCUGCCCAGCCCCAGAGGUGGCUGCAUCUCAGCGCCAGGUGAGGGGUCCUCGGGUAACCAGCCACCCCGCCCCAGAGGUGGCUGCAUCUCAGCGCCAGGCGAGGGGUCCCUGGGUAACCAGCCGCCCUGCCCCAGAGGUGGCUGCAUCUCAGCGCCGGGCGAGGGGUUCCUGGGUAACCGGCCGCCCCA